rnacentral:rRNA from 1 species
AGUGAACGCUGGCGGUAGGCCUAACACAUGCAAGUCGAACGGCAGCACAGUAAGAGCUUGCUCUUACGGGUGGCGAGUGGCGGACGGGUGAGGAAUACAUCGGAAUCUACUUUUUCGUGGGGGAUAACGUAGGGAAACUUACGCUAAUACCGCAUACGACCUACGGGUGAAAGCAGGGGAUCUUCGGACCUUGCGCGAUUGAAUGAGCCGAUGUCGGAUUAGCUAGUUAGCGGGGUAAAGGCCCACCAAGGCGACGAUCCGUAGCUGGUCUGAGAGGAUGAUCAGCCACACUGGAACUGAGACACGGUCCAGACUCCUACGGGAGGCAGCAGUGGGGAAUAUUGGACAAUGGGCGCAAGCCUGAUCCAGCCAUACCGCGUGGGUGAAGAAGGCCUUCGGGUUGUAAAGCCCUUUUGUUGGGAAAGAAAAGCAGAAGGUUAAUACCCCGCUGUUCUGACGGUACCCAAAGAAUAAGCACCGGCUAACUUCGUG